GCCAGUGUGGCAUAGUGGUUUGAGUGUUGGACUGCAACUCUGAAGUUCAGGUUUCAAUUCCCUGCUUGGUCA